rnacentral:rRNA from 1 species
UGGAUGAGCCCGCGGCCUAUCAGCUUGUUGGUGUGGUAAUGGCGCACCAAGGCUUUGACAGGUAGCCGGCCUGAGAGGGUGUUCGGCCACAGGGGCACUGAGAUACGGGCCCCACUCCUACGGGAGGCAGCAGUUAGGAAUUUUCGACAAUGGGGGGAACCCUGAUCGAGCGACACUGCGUGAGGGAUGAAGGCCUUAGGGUUGUAAACUUCUAAUAGAGGGACGAUGGCGACGGUACCUCUUGAUUAGCACCGGCUAACUACGUGCCAGCAGCGCGG